AUAACAACAGACACAAUAAUUAAUACUUAGCUUUACAUAGCAUGAAAACGUCAAGCAUACAACCGAAAAGGAGACAUUAUAAACGAGCGUUCGCUUUUAAGCGCCACUGUUUACGUAGUGUCUGAAAGAGUUACUUGUUGUUCCACAACAGCCACAUAACGGUGUCCUCAUUUGCUAUCACAGAGAGGGGGCGGUUCCUGUGAGGUAUCCGAGGCUCUGAUUGGCUGUCUGGAUUUCCCAGCGCUUCAGGGUCAGCUUCUUGUCUGCUCGUAUCUUCCACAGUGAGGAGCCAUUAAUCUCCGUCGGUGUUCAAAAUACAGUUUGAAUCAUUUUCUCCACGGAAAAGAUAAGUCUACUAUGAAUGAGGAGAGAGGGGAGGGGGAUCCUGCUUCUGAAACCACUCUAUCUGGGGACCAUGGCCACCAGAGCAAAGCUAAGAGAGUUCAGCAAGAGACACCCGAAUCCCCUGGACCCAGCGGUGUCUCCAUGGAGAAGGACUGCUCCAUGGCUAGACCUGUUGGGUUAAAUGAAGGACAACCUUUCGUAGAAGGACAACCCCUUACGAAAAGAGUCAAGCAGGAGAGAGCAGGCUCCCCUGGACCCAGCUGUGUCUCCUUGAAUACUGAUGAUUCUAGGAUUCAUCCUCUUCAAUGUAAAGAAGAGGCCCACUCCCCCGGAGAGGAGAGCAGACAGCACCAGGAGAGAUCAAAGGUAACCAGUGCUCAGUCUUUACUGCAGCAUCAAACAGAGCUGUUCAAGAGGGCUGAGGAGGACGCACACACUUUUCUAGACAAGAGGCUGAAGAAGCUGUGGAGGGUACUUUUCCCAGAUCUCCCACAAGGCUCAGAGAGUCAGAGCGAGAAGGAGGAAGAGAUGGAUGUUAAGAGAAAGGAGCAGUUGAGGCUUGCCAUAAAGGGAGUGGUAGACAUCGCAAAGCUCUGCCUGAUGGAAAUGAACCAGGAGGAACUGGCCGACAAACUGUGGAGCGAAACUGUUGCUGUAGAGUGCCAAGGCAAAAUCAAGUCUCAUCUGAAGAAGGUGUCCGGCUGUGUGUUUGAGGGACAGUCAACAGGUCUGAAUGACUUCUACAUAGAGCUUUGCAUCACAGAGACAGGCUGUAGAGAGGUCAACAAGGAGCAUGAGGUCAGAAUGAUGGAAACAGCUUCCAGAAAACCAGCUGACGAGGAAACAGCAAUCAAAUGUGAGGACAUCUUUAAACCCUUACCUGGAAAAGAUCCACCAAUCAGAACAAUAAUGACAACUGGAGUGGCCGGCAUUGGUAAAACCGUCUUAACACAUAAGUUCACUCUGGACUGGGCUGAAGGCAAAACCAACCACGACAUACACUUCACAUUUCCCAUCACUUUCAGAGAGCUGAAUUUACUGAAAGGGAAAGAGUUUAGUUUGCUAGAACUUCUGCAUUACUUCUUUAUUGUGACCAAAGAAGCAGGAAUCUGCAGAUAUGACCGGUUCCAGGUUGUCUUCAUCUUGGAUGGUCUGGAUGAGUGUCGACUUCCUCUGGACUUCCAGAACAACCCAAUCUUGACUGAUGUCACAGAGUCAGCCUCGGUAGAUGUGCUGCUGACAAACCUCAUCAGAGGCGACCUGCUUCCCUCUGCUCGCAUUUGGAUAACCACGCGCCCUGUGGCAGCCGAUCAGAUCCCUGCUGAGUGUGUUGACAUGGUGACAGUGGUGAGAGGGUUCACUGACCUGCAGAAGGAGGAGUACUUUAGGAAGAGAUUCAAAAAGGAGAUGCAAGCCAGCACAACCAUCGCCCACAUCAUGACAUCACGAAGCCUCCAAAUUAUGUGUAACGUCCCAGUCUGCUGUUGGAUCACGGCUACAGUUCUGGAGCACUUCUUCAAAACAUCCCAGAGUGGAGAAGAGAUGCCCAAGACCCUGACUGAGAUUUAUAUCCAGUUCCUGAGGGUUCAAUCCAUCCAAGGCGACAGGAAGUACAUUGGAAGAGCUAGAACAAAUCCACAGUGGAGUUCAGAGACCAGGAAGAUAAUUGUAUCUCUUGGAAAACUGGCCUUUAACCAGCUGAAGAAAGGCAACCUGAUUUUCUACGAGGCAGACCUGGUAGAGUGUGGCAUUGAUAUCCAAGCAGCCUCAGUGUACUCAGGAUUGUUCACCCAGAUCUUUAAGGAGGAGUGUGGUCUCUACCACGACAAGGUGUUCUGCUUUGUCCAUCUGAGCAUCCAGGAGUUUCUGGCUGCCCUAUAUGUCUUGCUGUCCUUCAACAAAAAUGGUGUCAAUCUGAUCACAGAAUCAAAACGUCAUCAAUGGGAGGUUCCUUUCCUCUGGCUCUGCAAGGAUGCCUUGAACAUGGCCUUACAGAGUAAUAACGGACACCUGGACUUGUUCCUCCGCUUCAUCCUUGGUCUCUCUCUGGAGACCAAUCAGAUUAUCCUAGGAGGUCUGCUAGGAAAGACAGAAGGUAGUUUAUCUAUCCAAAAUAGUACAGUGUUGUACAUCAAGGAGAAGUUAGAUGAUGAUCUCUCUCCAGAGAAAUGCAUCAAUCUGUUCUACUGUCUGAAUGAGAUGAACGACAAUUCUCUAGUGGAGGAGAUCCAACAGUGCUUGACAUCAGGAGGAUUCUCCACAAAAUCGCUCUCCCUUACUCAAUGGUCAGCUCUGGCCUUCAUUUUACUGUCAUCAGAAGAGGAGCUGGAAGUGUUGGAUCUGAAGAAAUACACUGUUUCAGAGGAGGGUCUUCUGAGGCUGCUGCCAGCGGUCAAAGCCUCCAAAACAUCUCUGCUGAAUGUCUGUAAGCUGUCAGAGACAUGCUGUGGAGCUCUGGCCUCAGUUCUCAGCUCAAACUGUAGGCUGAGGGAGCUGGACCUGAGUACCAAUGAUCUGCAGGAUUCAGGAGUGAAGCUGCUCUCUGCUGGACUGGGGAGUCCACACUGUAAACUGGGAACACUCAGUCUGAAUGGCUGUCAGCUGUCGGAGAGAUGCUGUCCAGCUCUGUCCACAGUCCUCAGCUCCAACUCCUCUAGUCUGAGAGAGCUGGACCUGAGUACCAAUGAUCUACAGGAUACAGGAGUGAAGCUGGUCUCUGUUGGACUGGGGAGUCCACACUGUACACUGGAAACUUUAAGGCUGAAUGGCUGUCAUCUCACAGAGAAAUGCUGUGAAGCUCUGGCCUCAGUCUUGAGCUCCAACUCCUCUAGUCUGAGAGAGCUGGACCUGAGUACCAAUGACCUGCAGGAUUCAGGAGUGAAGCUGCUUUCUGCUGGACUGCGGAGUCCACACUGUGCACUGGAAACACUCAGGCUGAAUGGCUGUCAUCUGUCAGAGAGAUGCUGUGAAGCUCUGGCCACACUUCUCAGCUCCAACUCCUCUAGUCUUCGAGAGUUGGACCUGAGUACCAAUGACCUGCAGGAUUCAGGAGUGAAGCUGCUCUCUGCUGGACUGGGGAGUCCACACUGUACACUGGAAACACUCAGGUUGUCAGGCUGUCUGGUCACACAGGAAGGCUGUGCUUCUGUGGCCUCAGCUCUGUGCUCCAACCCCUCCCAUCUGAGAGAGCUGGACCUGAGCUACAAUCACUCAGGAGACUCAGGAGUUGCACUGCUCUCUGCUGGACUGAAGGAUCCACGAUGGAGACUGAAGACUCUAAGUGUGGAGCACGAUGGAGUGGUGAGGCUGAAACCAGCUCUAAAGAAGUAUGCCUGUGAACUCACACUGGACCCAAACACAGCCUACAAACAUCUCUCUCUUUCUGAGGACAACAGAAACGUGACGCUGGUUCGAGAGGAGCAGUCGUAUCAUAAUCACCCAUUGAGAUUUGACCACCAGAACCAUGUGUUGUGUAGAGAGGGUCUGACUGACCGCUGUUACUGGGAGGUAGAGAGGGAAGGAGAUGUUUAUAUAGGAGUGGCAUACAAAGGAAUCCCAAGGAAAGAACGGAAUGCUGAAGGCUGGCUUGGCGAGGACAACAAUUCCUUGAGUCUUUAUUGUUAUGAUGGAGGUUACACUGCCCGGUACAACGGUAGUACAACAGACAUACGUCUCCACCCCUCUGGCUCUGACAGGGUAGGAGUGUAUCUGGACUGGCCUGCUGGCACUCUGUCCUACUACAGAGUGUCCCCAGAUGUAGGAGGGUCCUCAGACACACUGACACACAUCCACACCUUCCAGUCCGCAUUCACCCAGGAGGACCUCCUCCCUGCGUUUGGGUUAUGGGGAUUUGGUUCCUCAGUGUCUCUGUGUCGGAUAUAGCCACACAACACACACAUACACGUGUGCAUAUACACACACACACACACACACACACACACACACACACACACACACACACACACACGUAUAUAUAUACGGGCAGACAGGUUUGUAUGCAGGAUGUAAAGCUUAUCAAGGUCAUAUGAGUGUCUCUUGGCUGUUCAUUGCUUAGCCAUCUCUGUAUUCCUACAGCGUUGGAAUACGUUGCGGCAUGGUGAGAUAAAGGGGGACAGCCCGGUUGAGUGUGGGGGUGAUUUUCUAAUCUGAUAAAGCGUUUGUUUUGGAGAUGACCAGUUGUUAUCUGGAUGCAUGUCUGGAAUAUCCGCUUCUGGACCCCUGGAUGUACAUGUUUUGCAUUGUGUUGUUCUAGCAACAGCUGAUUAUGCUCUUAGGAGUCAACUUGGAGAUUGUAGUGCUUAAUACAUACACUCAACAAUACUCCAAUCUCUUCUGAAAGUCUAGCAUGUUGAACUGUGAGAGCAGGUGACUUCUAAGAUCUUCCAUAGGGUUAGCCUAGCUGGUUUCACAGAGAUUUAUUUUCAAUUAUUAUUAUUUGUUUUAAUCUUGAUAUGAUUAUUCGUAUUGUACUUUACUACAAUAUUUUGGAUAGAGUACUUCAUUAUAACAGCAUUUUCAAACUAAAGGGCUCUGAUAGCCUUUUCUAUUUUGAUGAGCGUGUAUAACCUGAUUUAAAGCUGAUUUAAUUAUAUCUUAAAAUCGAUUCCUUGUGUUCAGUUGGGGGCCACACGGCAGAAGAACAUAUUCUGUUUUUUAAAGAUUUGUGUGCACCUGUUUAUGAUUUGUAAUGUCUGCUACUUAUACUUUUAUCAUUCUGUUCUGUGCGUACAUGUAAGGGUCAUAUACUCCGUUGUAUUUGUUCAUAAAGCAUUAUGAUAAUAAACAACUCAGUGGAUCCAACUAAAUCAUCUUGUGUGUUCAUUCGCUGAAUCUUCCCUUUGGUUCAGUAGGAAUCCUCCAGGCUGAGCAGAUCUUUUCUCCAGAGCUCUCUGUUGGUUAUCCUAGCAGCACACCUGUGUCCUCCCAUCCCCAUGGUUGGAUCCCAGCUGGCCUGUAUGGUGUCCCCUGUGAGUUUGGAUGCGUGAUCAGUCCCUCCCAUGGCUCUUCAUCAACUCAUUGUCGGCUUAAAGGAGACAUAUUAUGGUGUUUUGCCAACAAGUAAACAUAGUAUUUGAGUUCAAGAAAACAUUUUUGAAGCUGAUUGCUGGAAAUAGCUUUUAGGAAAAAGAAUCUCGCCUACGCUAUUCCCCUCUGUUUCAGUACCUUCAGCAUGCGCUGUUUCUGGUGUCUGUAGCUUUAAUGCAAAUGAGCUGCUUCCCAUUGACCAAUGAGCUGUCAGACUGAACCACAGCAUUGAGGAGAAGGGAUUGUUGCCAUUUGCGGACUCCUGGAGCUCUAUAUCUAUAUAAUAUAAUAUAAUAAUAACAAUAUUAUGCAUGGGUAUUUUUAUAAUAUUAUGUCUAAUAUCACGGCCAAAAGCUAAUCAUAAAGACUGCGUCUGACGUAUCUGCUACUUCCAUCACCAAGUAAAGACUCGUAUUUCGGGUUAUCUCGGACAUGGUUGAGAAGAAUUGGGGGAAAGGAACUUUGUCCUUCACUCUCUGAAGUCCAUGAACCGUGACUUGGAGGAGAAAGGGAUUGUACCCCGGGAGCGGAGCUGCCGUACUGCCGCCGAGCUCCCCGCGCCGGAGCUGCCGGACUGCCGCCGAGCUCCCCGCGCCGGAGCUGCCGGACUGCCGCCGAGAUCCCCCUCAACGGACCUGCCAGCUUCGGCGGCGGUUCAGCUCCCGGAGUACACCCGCCGGAGCAGCCGGAAAGCUUUGGCGCUAGUUUAUGCAUAUCUCACUCAAAAAAUCAUGUACCUGCAGACGUUUUGAGGGAAGUUUGUAUGCGUGUGGGAGCACCAGAGACACUAAACCUCACCCCAAAUCCCAGGAAAAGUGUUAUUUUCAUAAUAUGUCCCCUUUAAGCAUUGGGGGACCAUGAGCUCAGUCCCCUGCAGACAUGUCCUCCAACACACACACAACAGUGGAGUCUCCAUUCACCUCUUCAUCAGUUGGAGGGAGGAUAGUACUAGUGGCCGGCGGCAACUUUUGACGCGAGGCAUGCUGAUUAGACCGGAUAUAGUAUUUGGUUUAAAACCACCACUAUAACGUAAUAUGGUGAUGUUUAAUAACGGAGUUGGUGUGUCGGUCGAAGCGUUGUUUGCUGGUGCGUGACUAAAAGGCUGAGAUUCUAAUGGGCUUUGUUGCACUUUGUUGCGCUUUGUCACGCGGUUAAAAAGCUGUGGCGAAUUCAGUUUUAAUUCGGUGUGGCAUGGUUUGACUCGGCGUGGGCCAAAAGUGUGAAAGGAGGAGGGGAGCAGAACAGCCCAGUCACUUUCAGCGCACACAGCUCACAGGAUUCAACCAGAAGGACGCGUUGAGGUGACGAUUACUACCCAAUCACAGCACAUUACGCCCUAAUGUGCUGUCAUUGGGUAGUUAUGUACGGGUCUCUACGACUACAGGAGCAGGCAGUCUGUCCAGGCGCAAUGCUCGCACUCACACACUUGCGUGUGUUUAUGUUAACGUGUGCGUCAACAUAACUAUCAAAACAUUAACAUGGACAUGCACUAUGGAGCACAGUUAAUGGUGAGCAGUUUGGUGAUGAUGAAGCUCAUUGCAAAAUAUGUUUUAAAUGUUUGUUUGAAAUUCGGUACAAUAGAUUUAGCUACUUGACCAAAUGUGCAAUUGCAUGUUGAAUCAUUUGGAUACACUUUUGUAACGUAAGAUCUUCCAUAGGGUUAGCCUAGCAGGUUUCACAUAUUUAUGAUUUAUUUUCAAAGCAAAUGUAUUUUGUCAGAUUGAUAUAAUUACAAUUUACAAUAUUCUGCAUAGAAUACUUUCAAAAUUUUCAAAGUUAAGGGCUCUGAUAUCAGUAUCUACUAUGAUUAGCUUGUGUAACCUGAUUUAAAACAAAAGUGGGAAAGGCGAAUUAUGUCAAUGUUUUGAAUGAUAAGCAAAUGAGGGGUAGAGACCCCCACCUGGACACUCAUUGGCCACUUCUUGCUCCUUUUAUAUUGACUUUUUUGUCAUUUAACAAAUGCUUUUAUCCUUAUUUACAAAAAGGAAAUGAAAGAAGGAAGAAACAACGUUUAAUCUUUACUCAACCAAUAAAACAUCACAAUAUGUCCUUCAUUCACCAUAGACAUCCAGGUGAGUGUGUGUGGUUGAUCUCACCAGCCUCAUGUAAAGCAGCCUCCCUCCUCUUACUGAUGGAUGCUGGGAUGUGGGUGAGGCUGCAUGCCUGUGGUGCAAUGAAGCCACACAGGUUGAACCAGCCGUCACUAGGGUUGGCCAUCAUUUGGAUUUUAACAAUUCUGAUUCAGAUUCUGAUUAUGCUUAUCGAUUUAGAUUCUGGAAUUUUUGAUUCUUUGAGGGGCAGGGAAAAAAAGCGGACAGGUUGCCGUGGGUCGUAACCACGGUGAUAGCACGCCCCCUUCAUUCCUAAAAUUCUCAGCCCGAAAUGGGCUCAAUGGCACCUUCACUCUUUGGGUGCCUAAAUGUCGGGGUAUUAACCUCUGCGAUCACCACGUAACCAUCAUGUGCAUCUUCCCACGAACAAAAUAUGUUUGCACAGGUUUUGCAUCGUGCUGACACGUCAUUGUUAUUUACAUAAUGGAGCCAGGCCGAUUUUGUUGCCAGGGUGAAACGCCUGCUGUGGCAGUAAGCCCGAUUCCGACCCCGCAGUAAACCUGUUUUAUACACCACCAGCUGCUGUCCAGUUUCGUAGGAGCCCAGUGAAGACACCUAGGUGUCAGUGGUAGGGUCAACUUGCUACCAUCAUCUAGCAUACAAAUGUGCUGUGUGCUGACACAAUGUACAGACCACCUACUGGUCUUCUGUGUGUUGAGAUCACAUUUGCAGACUUAAGGGAUCAAGAAUGACCCAUGAAAGGCAUGAUGAGACGGACGACCAAAAAUGAUUAGAAAAAACAUGUUUUUUAACAAUAAGAAUUGUAUUCUCAAGUCAAAGCAAAAACAAAAACUAAGCAAAAACAAGUGCAAAUAAAACAAAUAGCUUAUGACAGGUGAAAACACAUGAACAGGUAAACACAGGCACGUCUAUCCGUCAAUCUGGCAGUCAGUAUCCAUAGCAGCAGCUAGAGUUCUCGCAACAAAAUUGUCAUUGAUUAUAAUUAUUUGGUUAAUGAUGCAUCAAAGUACUUUUUUUCUUCUGAAGAUGAUUUCACCAAUAUUGAUACAUUUAUAAUUAGUGAGGUGAAGGGAAAAAAAAAAACUAUUUCCUGAACAUGAAGCCUAUAGUUUGGAGUUGGAUCUUUUGCUGAACAAUAACCCAAUAUACUCCUGUGAUGUGGAAGUUAAAAUAGGUGGAUAUUCAAAUGAUAGUUUGAGAUAUCAUCUUUCGAACGUAGAUCUCUAUCUCUCACACACACACACACACACACACACACACACACACACACACACACACACACACACACACACAUACACACACACACACACACACAUGCACGCACGCACGCAUGCACGCACGGCUGAGGAUGCAACAAUGACAAGGCUUGGUAGUACUCUGUCACCCAUCCCACAUGAGAGGGACACAAGCCACCACCCUUCUCUUCAGUAAAGAACAAGGAAGUGUGUCAUCAUUCACUCCGGACUCAAUCAAAACGAUGGAGAUGCUAUUUAUAUUGCUGGGAUUUCCCUUCUUUGUUAAAGGGCCCCCUCCGACGCCCAGUAUAGAGACCCAGCCGCUGGUGUGUGAGUUCACUUGUGCUCUGAAGUGUACCGCGGACACCCAGGAUCUGGGACCGGUCUCCUACGAAUGGAAGGAAGACGAAGGAGAGUGGACCGAGGGUGACGCGCUGAAGAAUAUCAGCAGUUCUGAUACCCCUGAGAAGUUCUUCUGCAGGCUGAAGACCCGUGUGAGGACCAGCAACACCAGCCUGCCCAUGGAAAAUCCACUCUAUAAAGCACCAGAUGUUGGGAAGAUUAUCAGCAUAAUUAUUGCCAUAUUAUGCAUUUUUGCUCCAAUUGCAGUAAUUGCUCUGGUGAAGUGUUGUCCGAGCCAUCCACUUUCUAUGUCAAUCCUCGGGAAUGAUUUUCUGAGGAGACGCAUAUUUUGUAACCAGCAACGACCCCAAUCAGUCCCACAAGCCGAUCCAGUAUGCAACCGAAGAAGUCGCAGGUGAGUCACUGUGGUUACCAAGAAAAAAGUGAAAUACUUAAAAAGAUGAUUAUAAACUGUAGACAAAAGGUACAUAUUGUUGAAAUAUCAUUACACUGUUGCCAAAAUGUAAUAUUUUUCUGUUUAAAUUUUCAUUAAAGAGCGCAUAGCGGAGGUGACCAGGCGAAACUUUGUUUAAUAUUCCACAUUAUAUUGGCGAUAUAAGGCGAGAGUUUCCUGGCUCAACCACUUGGUGAUACUCUGGGCUAUUGAACUAUUGUUCAAAUAAAUUUUCUCAAUUCUAAUUAGCAUUUAUCUUGCUAUCCAUCAGGAAAAAAGCCCACCACAAACCAUGUAGCGCUAGCUCACAUACUGCGCUGUAGUGGCGAGCCAAAAACAAUCGUUACCAUGGCAACGCCCACAAACAAACUCUAGCCACUCAACCCAGGCCGAGGGCCGAGUGGAUCUAUUGGUAGCUGGCACAGAACCCACCCACGACCCAAAUGGACCAUCCAUGCAUAAAUAAGAUCAUUGCUAAUGCUAAUAGGGGCUAGGCCUGAGUUAAUAUACUUCCUCUAUAAUGUGUUUUAAAUCCAUCUGUCGAAAGCGUCUUUUUCAGGUCACAAACGCUUCAUGGCAGUGUUUACCAGAACCAUGCCAGCACAGUUCAGCCACAAAAACAGCUAUGUGGACACAGGCCCCCUAAAUAGGCCACUCUACGCAUUAAGUUGAAAUUGCCAAUAGAGUUGCGAAGUCACGCCCCUUCCAGUAGAGCCCACGGGACCUAUGAGAUCGAAAAAUAUGAAUGGGUUUUAAUGGAGAGAAAGUCACUGUUUUCUGGUCCCUUUAUAUGCCCUGGAUUACACAUGUUGUUUAUCAUUAUUUAUUUAUGUUAUUUAUCAUUUAAAUCCACAAACAACAUGUGUAAUCCUGGGCAUAUUAAGACUUGGACCUGAAAACAAUUACUUUCUCUCCAUUGAAACCAAUCAUAUUUUUCGAUCUCAUAGGUCCAAUGGGCUCUACUGGAAGGGGCGUGACUUCGCCACUCUUUAUAAGCUGUUUCAAAACAAUCCUUUAUUUACAUCACAGGUGAGGGUGUAUGAUGUAUGACGGAUCAACUAUAGUUUUCCUAGUAACCAGAGAAAAACCCCAUUCAGAUGGAUGAAUGACACACACAGUUGCUUCUUGAACUGACUCUGGAUUGCAUAUUUUCAUUGAAUGAUUUGAUUGCCUUCUUUAAUAAAUAGUUUUACUAUCAUACCUCAUUCAUCCUCCCGAGUCGUACCGUAACUGAAGAACAUCUCUAAUACAAUGGCGAGCUGAAACAAACAAGAUCCAAAUUUGGAAAUAAACUAACAACUUUAAAAAGUACUAUGGCUUUGCGUGUGAACUGCAUUUGUUUUUGUUUGUUUUACAGUCGCUGAGGAUUUGGAGAUGGAAACGUUGAAUAAUACAAAUUCAAAUGAAAACAUGUAAGUAGUCACCCAGAGUGCCCCUACAUUGUUGCCGUCUGCACAUCUACCAGGCCGCCUCUGAAUGUCCAACACCUGGAACCCGUUGAUGGGACUGCAGACCACUCCAUGUUGCUCUCAACAAGAGCAAUGAGGUCGCUGCACUCACCGGAUCAUUUGUCAAUAUUCCAACAAAGAUCAGACACAUGGAUGUCUGCUGCAACACACGCGUGGCUGAAAGUGGACAAUGACUUCCUGUUUUCCACACAGGUUGAUGGAAUUAGCCUUUGAUGCAACGGAGGGGAUGUUUUAGAUUUUUUUAAGUAUUUAUUUAGCUUGCUGUUUUUUGAUUGUUUUGUUGUCCUGGGACAAACUGAUCAAGUGGAGCUAUCUAGCCUUCUCAAUCUUCUGUGGGGCUAACGCCACCGCCAUAACGUAUCUGGAUUUCUUGCCCCUGAAUUUAACUCUUACAAUUUCCAAUAAAUCAUUUUCAGCUUUAUUUUUCAAUGUUAAAGAAACAGUCUUCCCUGGCGCUGUUUCGGUGGCUUCUCUGAUAAAAAGCUACAGUCAGUGUUUAAUGGCGUUGAUUUACCUUUGAGCAUUUCCUAUUAUAGGCUACUGUGUAAAAUGCUGUUUAGAAUUAAUAUUUAUAUCAAGAAAGAAAGAACCAGCGAGUGACGAACUUAUUCCUGCUCUCCUUGCUUCUAGCUUCUAGGAUCGUGGGGAUUAUUGACACUUAUUACAAGAUGAACCUUAAAAUAUGACUUAGGCAAAUAUGCUAUGGGGCUAACAACAUAAAAAAACUUGUUUCUGUACCUUUUGCUUGAUCUGGUCUGUAUGUUGUUGUUCCCUGCGCCCAUAUUUAGUACUCUGUAAGACUUGCCUAUUUACAAAAAUAGCCAGGAAACCACACCGUAACCACACCGCAAACUACAGGCAGGUUUAUGUAAUGAGCUCCAUCCGGCUCAUCUGGGUCAAUAUGGGCCGUCUAUGGACUGAAUGGAUGCGAGGUGACUGUGAGAUUCACACAUAAUAAUAAUUAACAAAAUAAGCCUGAGCAACUUUGUUGUAAUUUUAUAACUUUACUGUACACAUAACAGUGUGUGCCGAUAAGUCAAUGGGCUAUGUUUUUUAUUUUUUGUUAUUUAAAAAGGUAUGGUCAGUCUGUAAAUAGUUUUGUAAUUGAUUAGUUGGGUAUGUUGACCCUGGUUAAAGUCCAGUUUAUAGCUGUUUUUUAUUGUGUGGUAUAUUUGCACUCCAAACUCUGUAAAACCAGUAAAGCUACCUUGUUGGGGUCUCAUGGUUUAGGCCCAAAAUAUUUAACUGAUAUGCUUCCAUAAUAUAAGCCUUCUAGACCACUAAGAUACUAAGAGACCAAUCUGUUAAUUAUCCCCAGAGUAAACACGAAACAUGGGAAAGCAGGAUUUAGUUAUUAUGCAACAAAUAGCUGGAUUACAUUUCCUGAGGAUUUAAGAUUUGCCCCAACUCUGAGCACCUUUAAAAUAAGACUGAAGACUUUUGUUUGCUUUAGCUUUCUGCUAAACCUUAAAUACAUUGCACUUUCUAAAAAGCUUUUUUAACUUUGCCUUUAUUUUCUAUUUUAAUACUAAAAUGCCUUUUUAACUUUCUAUUUUACUCAUUUCUUUGCAUGUUUUCUUUUACGUAUCUAUUAUUUUAUUUUAUUGUGUGACAAUGUUUAUAUGUGAAGUACUUUGAGUCUGCCUUGUGUAUGAAAAGUGCUGUAUAAAUAAAGUUGCCUUGCCUUGCCUUAUGGCAGGGAACAUUGCUUCAGUGAAUAAACAUAACGUCAAUAAAACUUUGAUAGCCUA